rnacentral:tRNA from 1 species
CAGGCUAAAACUUAUUAGAAGUAUUUUAUUUACAUUAAAAAGAUUACUGUGAAAUUCAGUAUAGUUUGA